AUGAACGCUGGCGGCAUGCCUAACACAUGCAAGUCGAACGAGAUCUUCGGAUCUAGUGGCGCACGGGUGAGUAACGCGUGGGAACCUACCUUUUAGUACGGGACAACGUUUGGAAACGAACGCUAAUACCAUAUACGCCCUUCGGGGGAAAGAUUUAUCGGUGAAGGAUUAGCCCGCGUAAGAUUAGAUAGUUGGUGGGGUAAUGGCCUACCAAGUCUACGAUCUUUAGCUGGUUUUAGAGGAUGAUCAGCAACACUGGGACUGAGACACGGCCCAGACUCCUACGGGAGCAGCAGUGGGGAAUCUUAG
rnacentral:rRNA from 1 species